GGCGGCAUGCCUAAUACAUGCAAGUCGAACGCGCCUAGCAAUAGGCGAGUGGCGGACGGGUGAGUAACGCGUGGGAACCUGCCCUUGAGUGCGGGAUAACCGAGGGAAACUUCGGCUAAUACCGCAUGCGCCCCGGGCAACUGGGGGAAAGAUUUAUCGCUCGAGGAGGGGCCCGCGUCGGAUUAGCUAGUUGGUGGGGUAACGGCCUACCAAGGCGAUGAUCCGUAGCUGGUCUGAGAGGAUGAUCAGCCACACUGGGACUGAGACACGGCCCAGACUCCUACGGGAGGCAGCAGUAGGGAAUAUUGGACAAUGGGGGCAACCCUGAUCCAGCAAUGCCGCGUGAGUGAUGAAGGCCUUAGGGUUGUAAAGCUCUUUCGCACGCGACGAUGAUGACGGUAGCGUGAGAAGAAGCCCCGGCUAACUUCGUGCCAGCAGCCGCGGUAAUACGAAGGGGGCGAGCGUUGUUCGGAAUUACUGGGCGUAAAGGGCGCGCANGCGGCCGAUCAAGUCAGGCGUGAAAGCCCCGGGCUUAACCUGGGAAUUGCGCUUGGGACUGAUGGGCUA
rnacentral:rRNA from 1 species